GGAGAGCUAAAGGAGUGGGUGAGGGUGGGAUGGUGAGGUCGGCGGGGCCAUUUAGGUGGUCAAACGAGCGAAAUUGUGCAAAUAGGAUAUUUUCAAGCCAAAUCGAUAGGUACCCAUGAUUCUCGAGGUGGUCUUGAGGCUUGAGCAUGUUUUAGACCAAAAAUAAACUGAUGGACCAGAGGCAAACUGAGGAGCAGGUAAGGGUGGGACGACGGGGUCGGUGGAUCGUUUAGGUGGUCAACUAGGAAAAACGACAAACGAGUCAUUUUCAAUCCAAAUCAGUGGGUGUUCCUGGGCAUGUUUUUGGCUGCAAAUCAUUAAGUAGUCUCCAAGAAAGUUGAGGAAUGAGUGAGGGUGGGCCGACAGGGUCAAUAAUAUCGUUUGUAUGGUCAAAUGGGUGAAAUAACGUGAAUGAGCCAAUUUUUAGCCAAAUUACUACGUGUUAUCCCACGAUUCUCGAGGUCGGAACUGGCGUGUUUUAGGUUAAAAAUAGACCGGUGGCCCUCAGGCAGGCUUAGGAGUAGGUGAAGGUGAGCCAUCGAGGCCGUUUGCAUAGUCAAAUAAGCGAAACAGUGUGAACGGGUCAUUUUAGCCAAAUUAGUGGGUGUUAGCCCACAGUUCUUAGGAUGGGCCGGGGUCCCAGGCAUGUUUU
rnacentral:lncRNA from 1 species